rnacentral:rRNA from 1 species
GUAGUCAUAUGCUUGUCUCAAAGAUUAAGCCAUGCAUGUCUAAGUAUAAGCAAUUAUACCGCGAAACUGCGAAUGGCUCAUUAAAUCAGUUAUCGUUUAUUUGAUAGUACCUUACUACAUGGAUAACCGUGGUAAUUCUAGAGCUAAUACAUGCUGAAAAUCCCGACUUCGGAAGGGAUGUAUUUAUUAGAUUAAAAACCAAUGCCCUCACGGGCUCUCUGGUGAUUCAUAAUAACUUCUCGAAUCGCACGGCCUUGCGCCGGCGAUGGUUCAUUCAAAUUUCUGCCCUAUCAACUUUCGACGGCUGGGUCUUGGCCAGCCGUGGUGACAACGGGUAACGGGGAAU